UGGUCCUCGGCUUCUAGCUCCUUCUCACCCAGCCUGGACUGCCCUUGCGCUGCCCCAGAUCCGCGCCUCCAGCUGGGGUGGCAAACAGGGAGCGGGCAGUGCAGCUCCGGCUCUGGUCAGAAGCACAAAAUGGUCCAGACAGCCCAGGGCGGGAUGGACAGGGCUGAGUGGGGUGGGGGGGGGGCAGCUCAGAGGACCCUGGUCGCGGGAGGCGGGUGGCGCAGAGGAGAGGGUGCACGGCCGUAAGAAGAGAAGCAAGGGGGGCUAGGGCAGGGCUCAAUGGAGCUGGGACGUCCGCAGACUGGAAGGAGCCGGAACCCCCGUCCCGGAGCCUCCCUUUUCAUUCUCCCUUCUUCUAGCGAUACCGAGCCGCAGAAUUCAUCUUUCCCCAGGUAGAGAGAAUCCGAGGUCGUUUCUGCCGCUAAAAUCUGAGCGGCAGAGCAUCCCGUAUCCACUGGCGAGGAGCGAGCGGUUCCCGCGACGUGGGCCGGAGGCACCAGGGGAAAUCCGUUGGUCCGGAAUCGUACCCGCAGGGCCCUGGUGGAGCAAAGCACUGCUCACUGCCUGCGGGCAGGAGCCGGCUCUGGGCCUUGGCCCCUGCUGUGCCGUCCAGUCGGCCGCUUCUCCAGCAAGGGAAGCAGUGGAGAGGCACGGGAGCCCUGAUUGUCCUGGAGAAACCUGGGGCCUCUGCGCGUCUACGUGCGAAGGACUCCAGACCAGCCAACUCAGCUGGGAGCACUGGAACCGAGGAGUGAGGACAAAGGGCAAGGAACAAGGCCUAUAGGGAUCGCGGGAGAAGCGCUGAGAAUCCACACUCCCCAAGACAGACCAGCCACGGCACGGAGAGGUGACUGCCCACAAAUCCUCCUGCCCAGAGACCCAGCCUUUCAGUGGCCCGAGAAAUGCACCUCUGGGCACAGCCAGCAGCCCCGGAUCGGCCCUGGACGCCAACCCAAGAGUCAGGGAAGCCUCGUAGGCCGGGCUAAAGAGGCCCUCAUUCAGCCAAGGCGGGGGAGGAGGGGUAAAGGGGGGAGGGAAGGAGUGGUGUGGAGUAGAAGGGGUCAGGCACAGGAAAGGUGGGGAGCGGAAAACAGGGGGAGGGGAUGGAGCCCUGUGCCAGAAGCUGGGGGUUUAGGGCCUGUGAUGGGAGAGGAUUCCCCUGUGCACCCUGAAGGAGAGGGCGAGGGUCUGAGCUUGGAACGAGGACUCUCGCCUGCAGGCAGUCGCCCAGCCCCGGUUGCAGGGACGCACAGCAGCCAGCAGAGGGCAGAAUGUGCCUGGUCCGCCCGCCGGCCCCGAGCCGGGCUCCGCGCCUCUGGGCUCUGGCUCUGCGCGCAGAAGACUUUGCCCGCCUGGCUUCUCCCUGCAGCAGCCGCGCCAGCGCCCCAGAUGCCGAGAGAAGACCGCCCAGGCCCAGGCCCAACUUCGCGGGUCAAGGCCUGGGGUUUCCAGGUUAAGCAAAGAAGUGAUCAAGAUGUGGGAGAGAAACUCCACAUUUACUCGUCCACUCUCCCCGACCUAAACACACAAAGGCGCCUUUAGAAAUACAUGGAAGCACAAAGCCCCCGCCUUCCAACACACACAAACACAGACGCUGGGAGACCCGCGAGCACACAGAAGCAUACACCCGGAGAUACGCAGACACACAAAGGUGACACAGACACCCAUACUGAAAAGGAUCGCAGACACAAUACAGAGGUUAAGACAAGCACAAAGAC
rnacentral:lncRNA from 13 species